GAUCUAGCUCAGGAUGAACGCUGGCGGCGUGCCUAAUACAUGCAAGUCGAACGAGGGUGCUUGCACCCUAGUGGCGAACGGGUGAGUAACACGUAGGUAACCUGCCCUUAAGCUUGGGAUACCCAGAGGAAACUUUGGCUAAUACCGGAUAACAACAGAGGAGGCAUCUCCUUUGCUUGAAAGGCCCUUUCGGGUCACUUAAGGAUGGACCUGCGGCGCAUUAGCUAGUUGGUGAGAUAACAGCCCACCAAGGCGAGGAUGCGUAGCCGAACUGAGAGGUUGAUCGGCCACAUUGGAACUGAGACACGGUCCAAACUCCUACGGGAGGCAGCAGUAAGGAGUUUUCGGCAAUGGGGGAAACCCUGACCGAGCAACGCCGCGUGAGUGAUGACGGCCCUAUGGGUUGUAAAGCUCUUUUAUAAGGGACGAAUGGUAGUGCUAGGAAAUGAGCACUAUUUGACGGUACCUUUUGAAUAAGCCACGGCUAACUACGUGCCAGCCGCCGC
rnacentral:rRNA from 1 species